CCUUCCCCUGUGAGCCCUGCUGUAAAGCUGUGAUGAAGCCCAUGUGCAUCCAUGGCCCAACAGCACAGUGCAGUGCAGUCUUAUUACAACCCAAAGCAGUUUGUUCUGGCAUGUGACAGGAAACAAACCUUUUCACAGCCACAGCAGAGCUGGCCCAAGGUGGCCAUGCAUCCAGAGUGAUUCAGCUGCAUCCAGUGCAGUUGUACAUGUAUUUUAUGGCCAGCGUCACCAUCCUUCCUGUUUUUCCCUCAGAGGUGGGCUUGGGGAAUCAUAAAUUCAUUCAAAAACACUAUUGCACAAAUGCCAACAUCAGUCAUUUUAUAUUGCUAAAUCGUCAGUUCCAGUUAAUGGGGUUUUCAGUUUCUGAGAACACACUGCAGUCGCUCGGGUGAUGUCAGUGGUGUUCUUGCCUGCUAUUGCAGCCCGGAUGUCGGGAUGCUGGCCAGGCAGUGUGAGCUGCUGCCUCUGCUAUGCUGGCAACACAUCCAGAGCACUACCAAUGAACGUUUCUAAAUACGAAGGCAGCACUGAGGAGGAGGGAAACUUCCCCCAGGUGCAGUAUUCUGCUAUUGUCAGGGCAGUGUGGAGUGAAAGCAAAAAGGAUUUCAAGACUCCUUUUGGCUGCCUGUCCAGGCUCUGAUUAUAAACACAGACCGAAUGCACCAUGCCUGAACCAACCCCUCCCCCUGCCCAAACCUUAAGCCAAAGGACUUAAAUGAGCUCUUAUGUAACACGGUUUUAGUGUUUCCAGUAGAAAUAGGUGUUCUAAAUAUAAGUGAUGUGCAGAUAAAAUAGGCUUAUAUAAAAUGCUUUUACAUUUAUAUAACCCUUUGUUGGCAUUGCACCCAACAGCUCCACCAGCCAGCAGCCCAGCGGUGGGGGUAAUGGUGCCACAGUGCCCUGCUCAGAUGUCUGCCUGGCCAUGGCUGUGGGACUGUGCUGGCCUUUGCAGCCACAGACCAAUCCCCAUCCCAUCCCCAACCUGCCAGCCAGUGCCUGUCCAGGGAUGGUGCCUGCUGAAGGGACAUCGUUUGGUGAGAAGAGACAUUCAUCUUUGUCUCUGCUGCCCUUGCUUUGUUGGGGGAGUCACUGCCUGCAGGCGUGUGGAGAACACUGGGUCAGCAGCACUUGGGUGUCUUCUAGAGCUGGACCUGCAGCGAUUCAUCAUUCACUUCCCUUUUGGAAAUCAAUAGGCACGUGUAGUACAAGUGCUUCUGACCCCUGAGAGUUUAUCCAAUAAAGUCAUGCACAGAUAGAAAGAAAAAGCAAAAACCAAAACAAAAGAUAAACCUACAAAGUGGCCACAGAGUGUUUGAUGCCUCAAAGCACUGAGAGCAACCCUGCUGCAGAGGCUGUGCUUGAGCCUCAGAUGUACCUUCAAGUGCUGCAAUGUUGCUGGCGUGCAGCAGCUUUUUAUAUUUAAAUUAACGGCUGUCAUAAGUACAUGAAAGGCUUUUGGGAGCUUGAAUGGGAGGUGUCUAUAUAGGGUAUGGCUGUGUGAAGACGGGAAUAGAAGCAACCACAACCCUUCUGCCAAAAGUGAUGUGGCUGAAGAACAGGAUAAAAACCCCCAUGAGGACUGCAAAUGACUUACAUCCCCCAAGGCUCCUUAGGGAUGGUUUGAUCUCAACCACAAAGAUAGUUCUAUAACAUAUAUAACAUUAUAUAUACAUAUAUAAACAAUAAAUAACAUUAUAUGCAAUAUAACUAUAUAUAACCUGGCUAGAUAUGUAUGUAUAAGUAUUACAUAUGUAUAACAUACACAUAUAUGUAUAUAGACAUACUAUAUAGCUCUAUAUACACAUAUAUAUCUAUACAUGCACAUGUGUAAUGUCUAUAUAUCCAUGUAUGUGUAUGUAUAUAACUAUAUGUACAUAUAUAGCGUAUCUAUGCAUCUACGUAUACAUCUAUAGAAUAAUGUACAGAACAUGUAUAUAUAUACACCUGCACAUAAGUGUAUAUACACGUACACAUGUGUUUAAGUACAUCUACAUCUCUACACCCAUAUAUACACAUACAUAUAUGCAUAUAUAAUUAUGCAUAUAUGUGCACACAUACAUACACAUAUGUGUAAGGUAUCUAUAUACAUAUAUGAGUAUAUAUACAUAUGCAAACACACAGACACACACAUGCAAAGGGAAGCUCCCCCUGUGCAGAGCAGGUGACCCAGGCAGUGGCUCAAGGCUCCUAUAUUGCCAGUGUUUGCUCUUUAAGGAGUUCAAUAGUGAUGGUUACACAGGGCCCUUGCAAUGGAAUGUGGUUCCCUGUACCUCUGAUUCAACAUAAAGCUGCGUUUGCACUGAUGCUUAUGUGAAGGCAGUCGGAAGCCACUGCACUUUCAGCAUGGUGCUUGGGUGACAUGUUGCAGAACCCCACAUUGCUGUAGUGACUGUGUUUGCCCUGCCAAAUCAAGGGAAUAUGGUGUAUUUCCCACUUCAUACCUCUGACUGUUCAGUGCCCCAGUACACAGCUGUACUGUGGAGAAUACCUGUUAGCUGUCACUUUUCUCUGGGUCUGUUAAAAUAAGGUUAAAAGGCAGCCCAAUAACUCAUGUGUGCAAAGAUGCAGCGAGCUCUUUUCUUACUGGGGUUUGUGUUUACAAUUCAUUAAGUAAUUUCAGUUCCAGUGAGUGGCCCACAAAUCUAAGCUGUCACGAAACCCCCACCCUUGUCUUUGCACUGUUUAUUUCUGAGAAGACUGUUAGUAAUGUGACACUUGACUCUUCCAGUAAGUAUAAAAAUAAGAAAUGCUAAGAAAACUGCUAGAUGAAUUUUUCUUAUUUUUCCUGGUUUGAAGCUGGGUGAUGGGGCACUCGACUAUGAGCCAUGCUCAGUAAAACUGGAGCCAACCUAAGCAGCUGCUCUGGCAGCAGCCCUUGGCAAGCCUUGGUCUGUGUGGGUCGGCACCGGUGCUUUGAAUAUCUUGGAGACUCCACAGGAGGCCUUCAUUUGGCCACUGUGUGAGCACUGUGGGGUGACAGCACAGGUUACCUAACACACGUUUCCUGUAGUGCCCUAUUAGCUGAUUUUUAGUGCCAUGCACAUUUAUUAAUGCCCUGCACAUUUCCCACAUUUAUGUUACUUUCCCAUGGAGUUAACCCAUUUGUGCUGGUCUCUCCACCACAUCCAUACAUACAGGUAUAUAGACACAUUACAUAUGUAUAGGUAUAUGUCUGUAUAUACAGAAAUAUAUAAUGUUUAUAUACAACUAUAUGUGUACAUAUAUAAAUAAUAUACAUAUAAAUAUAAUGUGUAUACUUACAUAUAUAUACUCAUAUAUGUGUAUUUUUAUAUAUACAUAUAGCUAUCUAUAUCUAUCCUCUCUCUCUCUCUGUAUAUAUAUAUAUAUAUAUAUAUAUAUAUAUAGCAGUACUUGCAGCCAAGUGGGAGGCACAGAGCCAGUGAUGAAACUCUGGGCUUAACGUCUAAAACUGCAGAUGGAAAGAAGAAGUCAUAUUACUGACACAAAUACCCAGGCAAGUACUUUUGCAGGCACAAACUGAGCAGGUAGCAAGUGGCUGGGAGAGGACUGCGUGUUGCUAUGGAAGGUGCUGCUGAAUUUGUGCUUAUAGAAAGCUCAUAGCAACUUUUCUGAGCUAGAUAGGCAGACAUCUCUGUGGAGGGGAAGGCAGCUGAAAACAGAGCUGACCCCUGUUAAAGGUGUAAAUCCUACCUGGUUUUGCAAGAGGCAUGACACAUACUUCUGUUAAAGUAACAAAAAGCUCCAAGAACAACCGCUGGAAAUUUGUCAACAUCUGGUUUUCAGCGCUGAAAACAUGCCAGCUUGCUCAGGCAACAUGGGGCAAUUUUAGGAGAUGAAAGACAGAAGAUGUAAGCAGCUACACUCUCGUGGUUUGUAUCUGGUGUGGUGGGAGCCUGGCCACCACGCUCUUGUGCUCUCGGGGCUGGCUGGAAGCCUGCUGCUGUUGCGGGGCUGACGUCUGGCAUCCCCAGCACAGGGCAGAGCAUGAGGGAGAUGGUGCCUUGGUUUGCAGAUGGGAUAAUCUCUGGCUCGCCAAAUGGUGCUGCUUGCCUAUGACCAGCUCAGCUUGUGUGUCCAUCAGCAGGUAGUGGUUUCAGCCUGCUCCGAACAGAGCAUCUCCCUGCAGACACCAACCUUACCUGAUGAUCUGUGUCUAUUGGGUAGCAGCAAUAUAAACAGGUAAAACUCACAACUAGCAGCAACCUCAGCUCCUGCUUAACACUGAGGCAUUGGUAGUUUCUGUUGAAUGAUGAAAUGUAGGCUCCACGCUGCCUGGAGCUGACCCCUCCCAGGAGCAUCAGCACCAGCAGGGCUCAAAGGGUUCAUCCCUUUACCAGCUUUGCCCAGGGGGCAUGCGGGGCUGGACCUCCACAGAGGGGCUGUAUUCAUGGGCCUCCUUCACUUACAUGACCUUCACCUCCAGUUCUUUGAGGCUAUACCUAAGGAAUUUAGAUUUAAAUUAAUCCUUUGGCAUCCUCAGGUUCAGGACUUCCACCCCAAAGGCUAAUGGGCUGCAUUAAGAUUAAAUCCCAUCAAGGAGAAUACCGUUGUCUUUGCCCCUCGGUGCUUGUUUAGAUCCUUCCGAAAUCACUAUCAAAGUGCCAUGGUUCACACUGUUUAGGCUUAAGGAGCUCUUUGCCACUGAGCAGCUGCACAAGAAGGAGGGACAAAUGGCCUCCAGAGGCAUUUUCCAAGCUAAGUUUCCCCAUGGAUUGCUUUCCAAUACCAAAAGCCAUCUCAUGGAAAUAAAACUGAAAAGAAAACUUCUGUCUUCUGGUUUUGUGCAUUAGCAUGGUCACAAACAGCUUUUUACUUUGUACACAUCAGGCGUAAAAGUGACAGAGAAAUGCACAGUCAGAGAGUAAUUUUCUAGUAGUCUUUGGCAUAAAGGAAUUGUAAUUUGCAGGGCUUUUCCUUUGACUGUCUCAUCCCUCUGGUUGAAGUCCACAGGAGCUAUAAGCCCAGCCAUGCUCACCACAGACCACACGUCCAGAAGCCCCCAAAAUUCAUGGCCACUUUUGAAAUAGCUGCAUGUGAGCAGCUUUAAAAAGAAAUGAAGACACAAACUUGCACAAAGCUCAGGCAUUGCACAGCUGAGCUGGAACCCUCCCUCAGCCUCUUGAACUUUGAGAAGAUUGUCCCGGUGUUUGGACAGAGAUUUGUGCCUGAACUUUGUGCCUCUCAGCCAUCCCAAACACGCAGUGUAGAAACCCCAGUAAUCUCUGGUCUUUCAGGGUUAAUGAUCAGAUGCAACUUUGAAGCUGCUGAACUUGUGAACCAGGAUGUGUUGGGAACGGCAGAGGCAUGUAAAGAUUAGACCUUUCUCAGGAGCAGUGUUGGCUGAAGUGACUGAGAGCCUUUGCAUUUGGUGGGGGUUUGCUAACAGGGGCAAUGCCAUGGCCCUGCACAUUAGCGCAGCCCCUGUGUUUUAAAGAGCUGAAGCAGCUUUCCCCUUUGGUCUCCCCAUGCUUUUACAGUGCUGUGAAAUCAGCAGGAGGC
ensembl:lncRNA